AUUGAACGCUGGCGGCAUGCCUUACACAUGCAAGUCGAACGGUAACGGGCCUUCGGGUGCCGACGAGUGGCGAACGGGUGAGUAAUGCAUCGGAACGUACCUUUCAGUGGGGGAUAACGUAGCGAAAGUUACGCUAAUACCGCAUAUUCUGUGAGCAAGAAAGCAGGGGAUCGCAAGACCUUGCGCUGAUUGAGCGGCCGAUGUCAGAUUAGCUAGUUGGUGAGGUAAAGGCUCACCAAGGCGACGAUCUGUAGCGGGUCUGAGAGGAUGAUCCGCCACACUGGAACUGAGACACGGUCCAGACUCCUACGGGAGGCAGCAGUGGGGAAUUUUGGACAAUGGGGGCAACCCUGAUCCAGCCAUGCCGCGUGAGUGAAGAAGGCCUUCGGGUUGUAAAGCUCUUUCGGCCGGGAAGAAAUCGCAUGGGCUAAUACCCUGUGUGGAUGACGGUACCGGAAUAAGAAGCACCGGCUAACUACGUGCCAGCCGCCGCGGUAACAC
rnacentral:rRNA from 1 species